UCAAAAUAAUCUUUUACAAUUAACUUUUGUCAAGAACACCAAACCACUUUUACAAAGUAAAUCAUUGACAUUUACAAAUAAUUUUCAUUCGAAAUGGCGACGCAAAGUGCUUAAAAAUACAUCUAGUUCCGGAAUUUAAAUCCAUUCCGAACCAGGCUUCCUAAGUCACCAGAAGCGUCGCUUUGGAAAUAAAUUUACACUGGUUAUUACUGUUAGUGUUUUUCCGGGUCUUACAAUUAGUCACAAUUUAUUGUCAGAAAUUGUUGCGGUCUGCUAACUUGUUUCCGGCUUGGAACACGUUUCAGCGCAACGGACAUGGUCGUUUUUUGCCACAUGUAGUCAGGUGCAAUUCUCUCACCUUUCUCACUGGCGGACCAUUUCCAUUUAGGAACAAGCGUCUUCGUCUCACUAGGCAAGAGCACGAAGCUAUAACACAAUGGAAAUAAAACGACAAGGCAGCAUACAAAUAUGAGGAGAGGACCAAAACUGGAGAAGACACUCAUGAUGUCCAUGCCUUCACUACAUACAAGAAAGAUGCAUUCCAACUGGCAGAGACAGAGGUCAACAGAUUGUCAAAUAGUAAAGGUCCAAGAGCUCUAUAGAACAAGAGUAAAGCCUGUGACACCUUAAACAACGCCCGCUGCAAGGCUUUCACUUGCACAUUCCAUCAUCACAGAGACUAUCACCUUAAUGGGUUCCCUAGUUAGAAUAAAUUUGGGGACAUACUCUGAUGAACCAUUCCCAUCAUCUCUGACAAUCAGAGGACUAUCAAAGAACAGGCUGAGCCCAAUGCAGAAGCCUCAAACCUAACAUGUUCAAUCUGCAGAGACAGACAUAGAAACUUAGGCAGGAAUACAGAGGUCUUCGCUAAACAAGAACUAAAGGUGAAGCAGUCCAUUCAUCUUCUGCCUGCUGUGGUAGCUCUGGGAUAUGAUCGCUCAUCUUCCACAGAAAGGUGGGAUCACAUUGGAGACUGGUAUCCAGCAAAAUGCUCAGAGACAGACAAUAUUCUUGACCCACCACUGAAGGGGAAGAACUUAAACCACUGAAGUAAAUUUUGGCCUCUCAUACAUUAUAUUCACCUGCCUACCAUUUUGUUUACCAUGACAAGGACUGGAAAAUCCUGCUAUGGGAAUUUGACAAGACAAUGAAGAAUGUUUGGAGUGCAAUCACUAUUAUACAGGAAAUCUGGCAGCCAAUUUGUUACAUAGCAAACUUCCAUGAACAGCAAUGUGUUAAUAAAAUAGAAGAUGCUAGAAGUAUUCAGCAGGCCUGAAGCAUUAACUCGGUUUCUCAAUCAACAGAUGCUGCCAAACCUGCUGAGUAUUUCCAGAAAUUUCUGUUUUUGUUUCAGAUUUCCAGCAUCCAUUGUA